rnacentral:rRNA from 1 species
GAUGAACGCUGGCGGCGUGCCUAAUACAUGCAAGUCGAGCGAACGGACGAGAAGCUUGCUUCUCUGAUGUUAGCGGCGGACGGGUGAGUAACACGUGGAUAACCUACCUAUAAGACUGGGAUAACUUCGGGAAACCGUAGCUAAUACCGGAUAAUAUUUUGAACCGCAUGGUUCAAAAGUGAAAGACGGUCUUGCUGUCACUUAUAGAUGGAUCCGCGCUGCAUUAGCUAGUUGGUAAGGUAACGGCUUACCAAGGCAACGAUGCGUAGCCGACCGGAGAGGGUGGUCGGCCACACGGGAACUGAGCCACGGUCCAGACUCCUACGGGAGGCAGCAGUAGGGAAUCGUCCGCAAUGGGCGAAAGCCUGACGGAGCAACGCCGCGCGAGUGAUGAAGGUCUUCGGAUCGUAAAACUCUGUUAUUGGGGAAGAACAUAUGUGUAAGUAACUGUGCACAUCUUGACGGUACCUAAUCAGAAAGCCACGGCUAACUACGUG